rnacentral:tRNA from 1 species
UUAAAAAUAAGCUAAGUUAAGCUUUCGGGUUCAUACCCCGAAUAUAAAGAUUACUCUUUUUUUUAAAA